UAGGGAAUUUUGCGCAAUGGGGGAAACCCUGACGCAGCAACGCCGCGUGAAGGAAGAAGGCCUUCGGGUUGUAAACUUCUUUAAGUGUGGAAGAUAAUGACGGUACACACAGAAUAAGCCACGGCUAACUACGUGCCAGCAGCCGCGGUAAUACGUAGGUGGCGAGCGUUGUCCGGAUUUAUUGGGUUUAAAGGGUGCGUAGGCUGUUAUGUAAGUCAGCGGUGAAAUACCUAAGCUCAACUUAGGGGCUGCCGUUGAUACUGCAUAGCUGGAAUAUGGUUGCUGUUGGCGGAAUGUGUAGUGUAGCGGUGAAAUGCAUAGAUAUCACGAAGAACUCCAAUUGCGAAGGCAGCUUGCUGGACUGUAACUGACGCUGAUGCUCGAAAGUGUGGGUAUCAAACA
rnacentral:rRNA from 1 species